rnacentral:tRNA from 2 species
GCCUCAAUAGUUCAAUGGAUAGAAUAGCAGUUUCCGGUACUGUAGAUACGGGUUCGAUUCCUGUUUGAGGCGCCA